GGUUAAGCGACUAAGCGUACACGGUGGAUGCCCUGGCAGUCAGAGGCGAUGAAGGGCGUGCUAAUCUGCGAUAAGCGCCGGUAAGGUGAUAUGAACCGUUAUAACCGGCGAUACCCGAAUGGGGAAACCCAGUGUGACUCGUCACACUAUCAUUAACUGAAUCCAUAGGUUAAUGAGGCGAACCGGGGGAACUGAAACAUCUAAGUACCCCGAGGAAAAGAAAUCAACCGAGAUUCCCCCAGUAGCGGCGAGCGAACGGGGAGGAGCCCAGAGCCUGAAUCAGCAUGUGUGUUAGUGGAAGCGUCUGGAAAGACGCGCGAUACAGGGUGACAGCCCCGUACACAAAAGCGUAUGUGCUGUGAGCUCGAUGAGUAGGGCGGGACACGUGGUAUCCUGUCUGAAUAUGGGGGGACCAUCCUCCAAGGCUAAAUACUCCUGACUGACCGAUAGUGAACCAGUACCGUGAGGGAAAGGCGAAAAGAACCCCGGCGAGGGGAGUGAAAAAGAACCUGAAACCGUGUACGUACAAGCAGUGGGAGCACAGGUUUACCUGUGUGACUGCGUACCUUUUGUAUAAUGGGUCAGCGACUUAUAUUCUGUAGCAAGGUUAACCGAAUAGGGGAGCCGGAGGGAAACCGAGUCUUAAUUGGGCGUUAAGUUGCAGGGUAUAGACCCGAAACCCGGUGAUCUAGCCAUGGGCAGGUUGAAGGUUGGGUAACACUAACUGGAGGACCGAACCGACUAAUGUUGAAAAAUUAGCGGAUGACCUGUGGCUGGGGGUGAAAGGCCAAUCAAACCGGGAGAUAGCUGGUUCUCCCCGAAAGCUAUUUAGGUAGCGCCUCGUGAAUUCAUCUCCGGGGGUAGAGCACUGUUUCGGCUAGGGGGUCAUCCCGACUUACCAACCCGAUGCAAACUGCGAAUACCGGAGAAUGUUAUCACGGGAGACACACGGCGGGUGCUAACGUCCGUCGUGAAGAGGGAAACAACCCAGACCGCCAGCUAAGGUCCCAAAGUCAUGGUUAAGUGGGAAACGAUGUGGGAAGGCCCAGACAGCCAGGAUGUUGGCUUAGAAGCAGCCAUCAUUUAAAGAAAGCGUAAUAGCUCACUGGUCGAGUCGGCCUGCGCGGAAGAUGUAACGGGGCUAAACCAUGCACCGAAGCUGCGGCAGCGACACUCAGGUGUUGUUGGGUAGGGGAGCGUUCUGUAAGCCUGCGAAGGUGGCCUGUGAGGGUUGCUGGAGGUAUCAGAAGUGCGAAUGCUGACAUAAGUAACGAUAAAGCGGGUGAAAAGCCCGCUCGCCGGAAGACCAAGGGUUCCUGUCCAACGUUAAUCGGGGCAGGGUGA
rnacentral:rRNA from 1 species